ACUGUCUAAAACUUGCAAAAAUUCUGUAACAUUUUUUCUCAUGAAGUGAAACGCAAAGGCAAUAUGCUUCUACGUCUUAUUCAUCUGUUUACUAUCAUAGGUUACAACCUUUAUGUAACUGUCAUAUCACGGGAUAUUUAUAGGAUCAAAGAAAAGAGGUAAAAGAAAAGGAAGCAAAGAAAUGAAUGACUUAUAUUGAUAUCCUUAUUUCAGUCCAUGUGUUUGUCUAAAGUUCUCUCGAUGUACCCUGUCUUCAUUUUCCAAUUCUGAAGUCUAGGUUAUUAGUCCUGUGAAAGGCUUGUUUCAAAGUAAACAACUUUGGAUUUGAAAGUUCAUUCUGAGCUUUUAAGAACAACAAAUAUUAAGGUGGCUACCUCCACCGUCAACACUUCUUUAUAUUUAAACCUAUUCUUCUUUGCAUUGUUUUAUCAGCUUUACAAAGGAAGAUUAGAAG
rnacentral:misc_RNA from 1 species